UCCGGCAUGGUCUAGUGGUUAGGAUACCUGGCUCUCACCCAGGAGGCCUGGGUUCGAUUCCCGGUGUCGGAA
rnacentral:tRNA from 1 species